rnacentral:rRNA from 1 species
UACGUAGGGGGCUAGCGUUGUCCGGAAUCAUUGGGCGUAAAGCGCGCGUGGGCGGCCCGGUAAGUCCGCUCUGAAAGUCCAAGGCUCAACCUUGGAAUGCGGGUGGAUACUGCCGGGCUAGAGUCCGGAAGAGGCGAGUGGAAUUCCUGGUGUAGCGGUGGAAUGCGCAGAUAUCAGGAGGAACACCAAUAGCGAAGGCAGCUCGCUGGGACGGUACUGACGCUAAGGCGCGAAAGCGUGGGGAGCGAACAGG